GAUGAACGCUGGCGGCGUGCCUAAUACAUGCAAGUCGAGCGAACAGACGAGGAGCUUGCUCCUUUGACGUUAGCGGCGGACGGGUGAGUAACACGUAGGUAACCUACCUAUAAGACUGGGAUAACUUCGGGAAACCGGAGCUAAUACCGGAUAACAUUUCGAACCGCAUGGUUCGAUAGUGAAAGAUGGCUUUGCUAUCACUUAUAGAUGGACCUGCGCCGUAUUAGCUAGUUGGUAAGGUAACGGCUUACCAAGGCAACGAUACGUAGCCGACCUGAGAGGGUGAUCGGCCACACUGGAACUGAGACACGGUCCAGACUCCUACGGGAGGCAGCAGUAGGGAAUCUUCCGCAAUGGGCGAAAGCCUGACGGAGCAACGCCGCGUGAGUGAUGAAGGUCUUCGGAUCGUAAAACUCUGUUAUUAGGGAAGAACAAACGUGUAAGUAACUGUGCACGUCUUGACGGUACCUAAUCAGAAAGCCACGGCUAACUACGUG
rnacentral:rRNA from 1 species